rnacentral:rRNA from 1 species
CUGCGCCACAAGUGGCAAUCACGUUUAUUGGGCCUAAAGCGUCCGUAGCCGGUUUAGCAAAUCUUUUGUGAAAUCGUCAGGCUUAACUUGACGAAUUGCAGAAGACACUACUAAACUAGGGACUGGGAGGAGUCAGAAGUAUUCUGGGGGGACCGGUAAAAUGGUAUAAUCCCCAGAGGACUACCGAUGGCGAAGGCAUCUGACCAGAACAGAUCCGACGGUGAGGGACGAAAGCCAGGGGAGCGAACCGGAUUAGAUACCCGAGUAGUCC